rnacentral:rRNA from 1 species
AACGAACGCUGGCGGCAGGCCUAACACAUGCAAGUCGAACGGAUCCUUCGGGAUCAGUGGCGGACGGGUGAGGAACGCGUGGGAACCUGCCUUGGAGUGGGGAACAACCGCUGGAAACGGCGGCUAAUACCGCAUACGCCCCGAUGGGGGAAAGGCUUCGGCCGCUCUGAGAGGGGCCCGCGUCCGAUUAGCUAGUUGGUGGGGUAACGGCCUACCAAGGCUGCGAUCGGUAGCUGGUCUGAGAGGAUGAUCAGCCACACUGGGACUGAGACACGGCCCAGACUCCUACGGGAGGCAG